UACGAACCGUCCAAACGUUACUCGGAAUCACUGGGCUUAAAGGGUGCGUAGGCUGCGCGGAGGGUGGGAUGUGAAAUCCCCCGGCUCAACCGGGGAAUAGCGUCCCAAACCGCCGUGCUCGAGGGAGACAGAGGUGAGCGGAACUGAUGGUGGAGCGGUGAAAUGCGUUGAUAUCAUCAGGACACCAGUGGCGAAGGCGGCUCACUGGGUCUUUCCUAACGCUGAGGCACGAAAGCUAGGGGAGCCGAACGGGAUAGA
rnacentral:rRNA from 1 species